rnacentral:lncRNA from 1 species
UCUCACCAGAUCUCAUCCGCCCCCAACUCCAUGCUUUCUCUCUCCCAGGCGAUUUCCAGAUCUAGGGUUUCAAUAACCCUGAAUCGUUCAUUUUCUCUCAAUCCGACAGAAGAUCCAGUGGGGUUGACCUCAGCUAAAUGAAGUAUAUGACUGUAGCAAGCCCCAUUUAAACUUUUGCUUCAGAUUGUGACUUUGGGUUCAAAGUUGAUUUUGUUGGUUGCCCCUUUUCUUUAUGCUUAGGAAUCUUGAACCCUAACAACGAGUAUGCAUCCCUGAAUCCCAAAGAAGGUAGCUUUCACGGAUGGAAAUUGUAUGGUUUUGUGAAGCUCAGAUUUUUGCAGAUUCAACAGUUAAGUCACAGAUACGGACGUGAGUUGUGAGGGGACGGGAGUUGUGAGAGGACGGGAUGACGGUAGUAGGCAUCACUCAGGAGCACAAUUCUGAAAGCAGAUGUCUAUUGUCAUGUUAAAGAGGCCAAGCAAAAUCUAUCAAGUUACUUCUGCACAUAAAGCGCAAUGAGGGAGACGCCAAGGUACAGUCAUUGGUUUUAAGUGAACAUGGCCUUUUGUUUCCAAGGUACUAUUUUUUCAUGUUCUCAAACAAUUAUGAAUUUAUUAUUGUAUUUUUAUACCUAUUAUUAUAGAUGACCCGGAUUUUACUUUUGACUAACAAAAGAGUUGAUAGGCAAAUCAUUAGAACCAGCAGCCGUGAGCAAUAGCGCCACCACCUUCAAUAAACGAUAUUCGUUUGGAAUAACGGUUGUGAUUCCAUCAUAGCAACCCAGCACCCGAUAAAUGAUAUCAGUUUGUGUUGCUGAUGGAACCUUUGUCCUCUCUCCUGCUGAACCCAGAGAUUAUCACAAACCUAGGCAGCUCAAAACUUGGAAAUGGUGAUCAACCGGUGUUAAUUGAUUAUGAACGUCUCAAAGUAUAGAUACGAUGUUGUGGUUAUGUUUUAUGUUUCUGAAAUGGAGGGUGAAAGAUUAGGU